rnacentral:rRNA from 1 species
UUCUUAUAAAUUAAUUAUAAGUAAAAUCUGCUCAAUGUGAUAUUAAUAGCCGCAGAACUUUAACUGUGCUAAGGUAGCAUAAUCAUUUACCUUUUAAUUAAAGGUUUGUAUGAAUGAUUUAACAUUUAAAUAACUUUUUUAUUUCAUAAAAUUUAAAUUAGGUUAAAUAUAAAAAUAUAUUUAUUUAUAAAAAAGACGACAAGACCCUAAUGAACUUUACUUGUGUUAAGCUGGGGAAGCUAACUAAAUAUAAUUUUAGUUUUACUAUUUAGUAAACUUUCUGAUUUAAUCAAUUUAAUAAGUUACCAUAGGGAUAACAGCGUAAUAUUUUUUUAAAGCUCUUAUUAAAAAAUAAGAUUACGACCUCGAUGUUGAAUUAGAAUUUCUAUAAAUCGCAAUAGUGCUAAAAGAGGGUCUGUUCGACCAUUAAAUUUCUACA